rnacentral:lncRNA from 1 species
UUGAACAACUUCAUCAUCAGUUCCAAUACCAUUCUUUCCCUUAGCUUUUGGAGGAGGACAAGAGGUUGAAGAGGCUGAGGUUACAUGAUCUACAUACCAAAGUACAAAACACAAGAAACUGUAGUCAGAAUGUAAAAAAUAAAUGCAAAAACUGAAAUGUAAAAAGCAAAAACUGAAAAAUAAAAAAACAAACACAGAAAACAAAUCAAUGCUUCGACAGAUUUAGGAGUCAAUG